UAGCCUUGGGGACUGGAAACUGCAAUCCUCCUGCUGUGUGUUGCACAUUUCAAGGAGGCACAAGGGGAUUUGAUUGGUUAGUACUGGUGUGGUCAUUGUGUGUUUUUCUUUGAAGGAAGUGGUGUGGUCAUUGUGGGGUACCAUAUUAGGACAUGGGAGCAUGGUCAACUCUUAGGGCACAAUGAUACGCUUCUGUGUGAUACAGACAAACCCACUAUACAUGCCCUGCUACAGUUUUAUAGCUGACAUUAUCUGAAGAAACAGUCUGAUAGCUGAGACAUGCAUGCUGCUAACAAUAUAUUGCUGCCUUAAACACCUUUUUCAACUAUACUACAGACAUCAUCUGGGUGCAAGCUGGGACUAAUUGUUUGGUGAUUGCACUAACAUUUGGUAGGGUAUGGAGACACAGAUAUUCCUCAAACUAAUUGCUUCAUAUUCUUCAGACCAACAAAGAUUAGUUUAUCUUUGUAUGAGUGCCAACAAAGAUUAGUUUAUCUUUGUGUGAGUACGUGUGUCGUUGUUUGUGCUAGUUUGUCAUGUUUCCGUCCUGUUAACGUCAGAAGCAAUGGAAAGGUAUGGGCAAUCGUCGGGAGGCACUGCCAUAUGGUUUUGUGACCCAAACUAUUUUUAAUAAAAGUAUAUUGGUGAUUUGUGAAUGCAACAAUCUGCAGGUAAUCUUGCAUGAAUGAAGAAUGCCUUUUGGUUUAAACUUAGAAGCAUUACUUAUUAUUUUCCUUUUCUUUUUUUUUGUAAAAGAGCUUUUUUUAAUGAACCGUGCUUUAGCAUUUUUUUGUGAAAAGGGCUUGAUUUUCUAUAUUACUGUGCAAUAUUUUGUCUAAACCACUGCAAUGCUAUUGUAUAUAUAGAUUAAAAUAAAAAAUAAUACAAUUCACGUAGUCAUGGCUUUGUGAUGUGGCUCCAACAGUGGUAUUGAUAUUGUCCCUCUAUUACGCAUGAGAAAUAAAUACCGAGAGCACAGGGGUUGUGUGAAAUACUGAAAUGCCGUCAUUAACUGAAAGCUUAACUGCAUUUUUCCCAUUCAGCGAGAGAGAGAGAGAAGAGGGUAAAAACACUACUGUCAUUCUAUUGGUUCUUGGAGUAUACAAAUAUGGGGAAAAAAAAUCGGUGCCUGGUGCUUAUCAUCUCC
rnacentral:lncRNA from 1 species